UAAACGUUGGGCGCUAGAUGUGGGACCAUUCCACGGUUUCUGUGUCGUAGCUAACGCAUUAAGCGCCCCGCCUGGGGAGUACGGCCGCAAGGCUAAAACUCAAAGGAAUUGACGGGGGCCCGCACAAGCGGCGGAGCAUGCGGAUUAAUUCGAUGCAACGCGAAGAACCUUACCAAGGCUUGACAUAUACCGGUAACGGCCAGAGAUGGUCGCCCCCUUUUGGGUCGGUAUACAGGUGGUGCAUGGUUGUCGUCAGCUCGUGUCGUGAGAUGUUCGGUUAAGUCCGGCAACGAGCGCAACCCUCGUCCUAUGUUGCCAGCACGUGAUGGUGGGAACUCAUGGGAUACUGCCGUGGUCAACACGGAGGAAGGUGGGGAUGACGUCAAAUCAUCAUGCCCCUUAUGUCUUGGGCUUCACGCAUGCUACAAUGGCCGGUACAAUGGGCUGCGAUACCGCGAGGUGGAGCGAAUCCCAAAAAGCCGGUCCCAGUUCGGAUUGGGGUCUGCAACUCGACCCCAUGAAGUCGGAGUCGCUAGUAAUCGCAGAUCAGCAACGCUGCGGUGAAUACGUUCCCGGGCCUUGUACACACCGCCCGUCAAGUCAUGAAAGUCGGUAACACCCGAAGCCGGUGGCCUAACCUUUUGGGGGGAGC
rnacentral:rRNA from 1 species